rnacentral:rRNA from 1 species
AUUCCCUUUMGUAACGGCKAAGUGAAGCGGGAWGAAGCUYCAAAUUURAAAUCUGGCCGGGUUACCGGUCCGAGUUGUAGUUUAUAGAAGUGUUUUCGGCGGCAACCUGGGUACAAGUCCUUUGGAACAGGGCAUCAUAGAGGGUGAGAAUCCCGUCCAUGACCCAGUGGAUGCUGCUAUGUGAUACACUUUCAAAGAGUCGAGUUGUUUGGGGAUUGCAGCUCAMAAUGGGUGGUAAAUUUCAUCUAAAGCUAAAUACAGGCGAGAGACCGAUAGCGAACAAGUACCGUGAGGGAAAGAUGAAAAGAACUUUGAAAAGAGAGUUAAACAGUGCGUGAAAUUGUUGAAAGGGAAACGUUUGGCACCAGUCAUGCGUGCAGGAAAUCAGUCUAUUCAKGUGGGGAGUGGCAGGAGUUUGGACCGCAMGGCCASCUUUUGUUGCAUUUCUGUUUGAAUGGAUGCACUUUUCUGUAUGCAGGUCAACAUCASUUUUGUUUGCCGGACAAAACCUCAMGGGAAUGUGGCAGCUUUGGCUGUGUUAUAKCCCUGGGGCGAUACGGUGGACGAGACUGAGGCUUUCAGUGUGUGCUUUCGGGCAAGGCCGACCGGGUGCUCUGAGCUAGCAVGGGGUACAAUACAUGUAUUUUGCUUCGUGUCUGGAUUAUACUCGCUCGAAUCGGCUCUUCCACGCUUAGGAUGUUGACAUAAUGGUUCUAAACGACCCGUCUUGAAACACGGACCAAGGAGUCUAACAUAUAUGCGAGUGUUUGGGUGGCAAACCCAUGCGCGUAAUGAAAGUGAACGUAGGUGCGAUCCGCAAGGUGCAGCAUCGACCGAUCUUGAUAUUUUUGGAUAGAUUUGAGUAAGAGCAUAUAUSYGGGACCCGAAAGAUGGUGAACUAUGCCUGAAUAGGGUGAAGCCAGAGGAAACUCUGGUGGAGGCUCGUAGCGAUUCUGACGUGCAAAUCGAUCGUCAAAUUUGGGUAAUAGGGGCGAAAGACUAAUCGAACC